rnacentral:lncRNA from 1 species
AGUUGAUUAUUAAUUGUUUGCCGCAUAAAUUCUUGUUCUGCAUAGGAACAUUAAGUGUAGGGAUACGUGAGUGAUUAUGGUUGAGGAGGUAUUGCACCUUUGUAGUAGACAUAAGUUAGUUUUGGUGGGUGAGACUUAUGUAUUGAAUAUCUACAUGUAUAUACGAUUGUAUUGUAUAUUAUUCAUGUUAGUUUUUAAUGAAACUAUUUUUUAAAUUUCAAUUUAAGCUCCAGGUUACGUAUAGAAAAAAAAGAGACUUCA